UUUCCGUAGGUGAACCUGCGGAAGGAUCAUUACCAAUUCAACGGUGUGGUCGCGGCCUCCGGGGGCUCCCCCCGGGCGGUAGAGGUAACUCUCUUACGCGCCACAUGUCUGAAUCCUUUUUUUACGAGCACCUUUCGUUCUCCUUCGGUGGGGCAACCUGCCGUUGGAACUUAUCAAAACCUUUUUUUGCAUCUAGCAUUACCUGUUCAGAUACAAACAAUCGUUACAACUUUCAACAAUGGAUCUCUUGGCUCUGGCAUCGAUGAAGAACGCAGCGAAAUGCGAUAAGUAGUGUGAAUUGCAGAAUUCAGUGAAUCAUCGAAUCUUUGAACGCACAUUGCGCCCCUUGGUAUUCCAUGGGGCAUGCCUGUUCGAGCGUCAUCUACACCCUCAAGCUCUGCUUGGUGUUGGGCGUCUGUCCCGCCUCUGCGCGUGGACUCGCCCCCAAAUUCAUUGGCAGCGGUCUUUGCCUCCUCUCGCGCAGCACAUUGCGCUUCAGAGGGGUGUGGGCCGCGUCCACGAAGCAACAUUAUCGUCUUUGACCUCGGAUCAGGUAGGGAUACCCGCUGAACU
rnacentral:rRNA from 1 species